GGCUUGGAUACCGGUGUUGUAUGAAGUCUGUGCCGAGGACUGUAACAUGAAACAACUUACCAGCCUAACUUCCAGAUCGGUGCCGUGCUGGCCACUGUUGACCCAAAGAUGAUGGUGAAGAUGUUCCUGCCCACAAGGAGUUAGCAAGCCACUGGGCAUUCCUCUUGCUGAUGACACAAUUCCUGUUUGAAUCUGUUUACAAGAUUCUGAAAGCUGAACAGGGAAUUGUACUACUGUG